CUAACCUAAACUUUCCCAAUAGGUUCCACCCCUUAAAGAACCAAAAGCUGAGGCCCAAACCUUUAACACAGGGUCUUUUCAACCUCUCUGCUUUCUAACUGGGACCAUCUGCCUGCUGCCUUCCCCGCUAGGGUGGACCAGAUCUUCUGCAACUGUCAUCUGAAGUAAACCCUUCCUACCUCAAGUUUCUUCCUUUUAGGAAUUACGUCAAGAAAAGCAGCAGACACAAGAACAUGGCAGAUUCAGGCAGAGAUGAAGAUGGAGCAGAGAAGCCAAGUCAGACUGCACUUGGUACUUCUCUGGUUGCUUCAAGAAAAUACCUGGUGGAAGCAGGAGGGAUUGUUUUUACAAUCCAUCAUGGCGGCCAGAUGCCACAGAGAGAAGAUCCCAGAGUGUCUGGUCUUGUUACAUCCACAGUCAGGGAGAGAUGAAUGAUGCUAUUCUCCUCCUUUUUAUUCAGUCUGGGAUCUCGGGCCAUAGAAUGGCACCACACACAUUUAAGCCUUCAUCCAAGUUGAGAGCUUAAGCAACCCGAUAGCAGGUGUCAUCUCUUCCGUUCGUCACUGUGUGGCAUCUUGAGGACUACGUUCUGAAUAAGUGUUCACUGUCCAUUAACAUUCCUGCUGCUGCUGGUUCUCCUGGAGCUGGCUAAUGGGCCACAGAACAACUGCAGCUCCUAAGUGACAAGGCACUUCUUAUCCAAGUGGUGCCUGGGGUCCCUCUUGAAGACACCAAUUUUAGGAAUGAGACACAGACUGAGCCCAUGAUAAGCCAGCUUAACAUCCCGAAAUUAACAAAGAACCUAUGAACACAGGGAAUCCACUCUGGAAGACCCGAGCCUUUUGUGGGCACCCUACCAUG
rnacentral:lncRNA from 1 species